UGGAGAUUUGGAGGUGUUAGUUUAAGACUGCUUUCAUAUUGUGUCUACUCGUGUUUCCUAGGAGGGACAUAUAGUGUGUAGUUGUAGGCUCAUGAAUGUGUUUUCUGUAUUGGCAUAUCUGCUGGGUACCCGAUAUGUGUAUCUACUACGUCUGUUUUGUGAGAUGUCUGUUUUGUGAUAAGACGUGUAAUAUUACAUUGGAUGCUGAGUAUAAGUUAUAUGGUUUGAAAUGAAUUGGUGUGUUAUGUGUUUCAUGUAUUUUAUUGUCCAUUGUGUAG